UCAGGGCCAGCCCAUUUGCCGAUAGAGCGAUUCAGAAAGCAGUCUGUCCGCCUCCAGCCUCCGCGUCGGCCGCCGGCGAGGUGACAGCUUAUCCUGAGCUCUGACCAGCAGUCACUUCUGACCUCCUCCUCGGAAGCCCCAUCCCCUUCCAACCACGCGGCACGCCCACGGCUCGCCGUCCCAGUCCGCCCACACCGGCAGCCCGCGGGCCGGCGCCCGAGGCUCCUCUGGCUUCUCCGCGCUUGGAACCCCGUUAUCCGUACACGGUUCAUCCAUGCCGGCAGUGCACGCUGAGACGCCGCUCCCUCGUCGGCUCGUCGCCCACUCGCCGUGGACCCUUGGUUUUGGUUAGCAAUGGGGAAACAGCAGAGUCGAUGCAGCCAUUGGCGGAAAUUGGUAAAUCUCCAUCAUCUCCUGAUGGUCUAGCAUUGGUGGUCGUUAGGUGUAGUAUUUUCUGGAACCAAAAUUUACUUACAAUGCCCAGGUAUGUCUGAACUUGUCAUAUCUGUUUUAUUUGGAUGUGUUCAUCUUGAUGAUGCCCAAGUAACAUCCAAAAAAAAUUGUGUGUUCUAAUAUAGUGAUAUGGUCAAUUGUGUGAACUGAUGACAUGUUCAAUUGGUCAUUUAAUUAUCCCUUUCUAUUCUACGACUUAGUAGUAUCCUUUUUCAUGCAUAUUGUGUGUCUGAUAUGGAGUUGACCUACAAGUUCAUGACCAUUGUAAUCCUCUCAACAAUAAAGACAUAUAUGUAGGACGUAGGGCUAUUACUCAUCCCUGGACCUGAACCUAGGUAAAACUACCAUGUCACCUUCAUCGCCGUUGAGAUCCCUUUGGGCACCAUCUGUCACUCUACAUUCCUCGACUCCAUGUAGAUCAUAAAAUCGGAUGUGCAUUAAUCGUCGACACUUUUCAACAGCAAAAGAUUUUCUGAUUCCUUGUAAGUUAUCCACCUGACUAUUGGAUCCAUAUGUGGUCCUUACUUUAGUGUGUGGAGGCAUGACAUUCUCAGAUAUCUUGGUGUAGCCAAAUCUAUCUUCAACCUAUUUUGAUUAUGGUCUACCAGUAGGACCAUUGAUGCAUAAGUGCGUCAUGUUAUCCCUACUGAGGCUAUCUUAGCCUCCACUGACAUGUUUAUUCUAUUUUCUAUAAGACUUGACGCUUCAUAAUAAAAGAUGGUUGCGUGCAUCAAUCAAUGAACAUAUUAUGAGCUCUCAUUUAGCCUUGCUAAUGAGUACGGUCAGCAGGGUCCCUCCUGUUUAGCCUUUUAUACUGUAUCUGACUUCUGGAGCAAGGAAAUAUCCAGAGAUUUACUCUCUUCAACUUCAUCAGUUAAAUAUGACAGCUCACCAUGUAUUGCACAGAAUUUCUGGUAGAAAUAAAUAGCAAAAGAAACUUGGAAGACAAUACAGAUGGUACUGUUUUUCCUAGGGUACCAAAUUGAUGAACUCCUCCAAGGAAUAUAGCUUCAUGCGUAUCUCUUUUGGAAAGCGUAGCACUAAAAGCUGAUUUAUUUUCUCUCUCUUGGAAAGCUGCAGCAAGUAAACAAUCAAAAUUGACAGUCUCUUCUAAUAUUUGUGUUUGAUGUGUGUGACCGAUAUUCCUUGACCAGCUCACGAAAGAGAGAUCCUUCAGUCUCCAUGAGCUUUGCAGGCUUGUCAUACUCUGCUACUCUCCCUGAAGUGUUCAUGCGUACAUCAUUAGUAUGGGAAAGAUCUACAAUAUACUCCAUAUUUGGUAUCAACUAUAAUUCAUAAAUUCCAUAUAAAUUGGUGUUGUCAAUAAGAUGAUGGGUUGAACUAUAAGAAAUAACUAUAUUUCUAAUAAGUUGCUGGUAAGAGAAACAUACCAUCUCUCAAUGCAAGUAUCAUAUCACAGUCCAUAACUGUUGGUAUACGGUGUGCAACUGUAAUAACGGUGCAAUAUUUGAACUCUGUUCGGAUCGUUUUCUGAAGGACAACAUCUGUUGCGUUGUCUAUAGAGGCUGUCGCUUCAUCAAGAACUAAGACGCGGCAUCUUCUCAAAAGUGCGCGUCCCAGACAGAAGAGCUGUCUUUGGCCCAUGCUCCAGUUCGACCCAUCUUCCACAACUAUUAUGAUAGGAUUUUGAUCAGUACCAUGAAUAAGAUAGUUCCAAACAUCAUGCUGGCAGAAGGAUAUAUAGCUCUGUCCAUAGGCAGGUCUGGACGCAAUUUCUAAAGACAUUACAUUCAACACAUACACAUUGAACAUGAUUUUGUUUUUGCUAAGAGCCCGUUGGUGUAUUUGAAGUACUGGCCUGCACGCCCAUGGUACUCCUCCUUUGGUGGAGAAUACGCUAGGAGGACUACUAACAAUUUAACAUAUUUAGUAGCAGAUGCAUUUUCACACCUAUUUGAAUUUCUGGAAUAACUAGAGCGGAGUUUUCUGUUUACCCAAUCUAUUAGUUUCAAAAGAGGAACUCCGUAAACCAAUUAUAGAUGAAGUGCAGUUUCAUACCAAGUGAAUCCAAUCCAUGUCCCUUCUCUUGGACAGCUUCAAGAAGUUGACAUUUGCCAAGAACCUGUAUCAUAAUAACAAAUGGAGUAGCCACUUUAGUGGUUCCUUUUGAAAUGUACAUGUGCCAUAAAAUGAGAAAGGAGGCCCUAAGCCUAGCUCAGUUGGUGGAAGGUGUGGCUGCAGCUGCACACUUCUACCAGGCAAUCACUCAUGUUUAAGUUUUCAACCCAACUUUCGGUGCCAAUUUCUUCGAUGAAUGAAAAGUUGUCAAGUAAUUCCUAGGCAAUCUAGUUUUUAUAUGAGAAAGGCAACUUGUCAUCUGAGAUUCCCCUAAUUGGCUAACUUGGUUUAUUCGCCCUACUUUGAUAAUGUGCUGAACUUUCUGAAUUUGUUAGGUACUCACUCCGCCCCAUAAUAAUAUGCAGAUUGGUAUUCGUGAAAGUCAAGCUUCACAAACUUUGACCACACAAUACCUAAUAUAUACCAGAUGAAAAUAAAUUUCGUGAUGAAUCAAAUGGUAUUGAUUUGGUAUUUUACAUGUUGAUAAAUUUUUUUAUAAACUUGGUCAAAGUUUACAAAUUUUGACUUAAAAAAUUCGAAUGUGCACUAUAUUUUCGGACAAAAUGUCAAAGUAACUGAGUUGAAUUGCCACAGUACUAAAGAUGACUGUCACAUGAUUAAACAUUAUAGCAGGUUGUUUUGAUCUAAUACCUUUUCAUCAUAAUAUUAUCUGAUCAGUGGGUAAAAUGAGAAAAAUCAACGUAGAUAGCAGGGUAAAUCUUACCUCCCAUAUUUCUAGAUCUGAGAAUUGUCCAAGAGGAUCUAGAUUAUAUCUUAUUGUACCAUGAAAAAGUAUUGGAUCUUGUGGAAUGAUACCCAAACGCGAACGCAGGUCAUGUAACCCUAUCGUACCGAUGUCCAUAGAGUCUAUAAUUAUUUUCCCUUCAUCAGGUUCAACAAGACGAAAUAAUGCACCAAUUAACGUUGUCUUGCCACUUCCUGUCCGACCAACUAUACCAAUCUUAUCUCCACCUUGGAACUUGCAAGUGAUUCCAUGUAGUACAAGGGGAGUAUCUUUCCUAUACCUGAUCUGUUGAAUGAAAAUUAAUCGCUUAAAUUUGUUAGUACUGUUAGGUGUACAUGUAAAUAUUUAUAUUUGAUUACCUUCAAAUCUCUAAGUUCCACAUAGCCAUCUUGGGGCCAAUCUUGCAAUGGCCGAUUUUCUUCAAUAACUUCCGUUGCUUCACUUUGUAUGUCCAUGUACUGGUUCACCCGUUCCACUGAGAUUAUUUGAUUCGCAAGGUUGCAUUGGUUUUGAAUAGAGCAAACAAAGGACACAUUUAGCGAAAGACCAUAGGACAAUACCAUUCCCACAAAACCUGUGCAAGUACGAAAGCAAUGAAUUAAUUCUACUAUUUGUAAUGGUGCUAUUCAUAAACUGUAUAGCAUCAAAUACUUAUUUAGUUGACUCCGGCACAUAAGCAUUAGGACUUAAAUACAUUUUCAUAAAAGAUGAAAAUGCAUCCAUAAAAUCACCAGAGCAAGUGGUAGUUUGAGAAAUGCAUGGUGUUUCUUAUUCACCCUAUUCUGCCUGGACAUUACUACCUCAAUUAGUAAACGCAAGAUAUUCUAAAAAGUGUUCAUUUAAACAUUUCUAACUUCACUAGCAAGUAAAGCUUUUCUAACUUUGAGUACUAUUAUAUGAAACGUGUAUGCACAGGUAAGCUCAAAAUACUAUCAUAUUCUUUAUCAAUGUUAUUUUCAUAAUAUAAUCUUUUCUAGUUUUCUACCAACAUGCACAUAACAAAAGUAACAGUCAAAUAAAUUUGUUGGAGACCCAUGUCAUGUCCAAAAUGUUAUCUAUUUAUGCGUGGAGGGAGUAUAAGUAUGCUCUCAUGACAAAAGAUAUGAAAAGGUAGCAACAUUUACAUGGCAAUGCAUCUAACAUUUAUCACAAAUUAGUUGUAAGCACCGAUGGCCUUAGAACAAGCUGGCUACUCAAUUUUGUCCAAUUGAAGCAGCAUGGUGUUCAUACAGUUGCUUACCAGGGCUAAAAGUUCCUUGAGGAAGAAGAGCCAUGACAAAGGCAGAAAAAGAAAGCACGGAGGCGCUCAUUAUUUCCAGGCGUUGAAUCAACCAUUCAGUUGCGGCAAAAUUACAGAAAUAUGCACUGGCAUUCUUGUCGACAAGAUCCAAAUUUUUAGCAAAGAAACGAUCUUCUUCCCCAAAGGCCCUUACUGUUAUAGCCCCUGAAAUCGAUUCGCCUAAGUGAUUCACCAGAGCAGACUUGGUAGUACCAUUGAUCCGCAUCAGCUCCUUGGCCGAGGCUAGAUAGUACCUCUACAUGACCAAACAUAAUAGGUUUCAGUUAAUGAUAAUUUUGAAUACAAAACUGUAGGCUCAUUCACGCCAGACAAAAAUAGCAGCAGAGAACAUCAAUUGGUGAAUCUAAUCAAAUAGUGACAGAAAUGAGAAUUAGCCAUAAAGUAACAGUAAUACCAAUUACCUGCAACCUAAUUGCCAAAACUAUCAUUGGCACAGAUACAAAUAAAACUUCCCAUGUAGCAACAACCAAUACCCCUAGAUUGCUAUAUGUAUUUAAAGUAUCGCCAAGGCUAAACACGAAGGCAAAUGGAAGAUCGAGGUCAAUGAUACUCAAAUCUGAAGAGGCCUGCAUUAAAAGAAAAAAGAGAACAAGUUAAUCCAUCAGGAAAAAAAAUCUCUGGGUGUAAAACAGAACUGUAGUUUAUUUUAUUUGCCAUUUGUUUAAGAAUUCUUACCCGGCUAAGAACCCUUCCUACAGGAGUAGAAUCAAAAAAGGACAUUGGUGCACGGAACAUUGAUUUGAGCAACUGGGAAAAUAAGGAUCUUGAUGUCUGGAUCCCAAGAACGACGACUACUAAAGAUCUUGAUAGCAUGAAGAACAUUGUGCAAACUCCAAUUAUAAUGUACACAGAAAUUAACUUCAGCGUACUAACAUGAGGAUUCUGGACAUUAGCAGCCAUCCAUGAAUUCUGUGAUAUUUGCCCAGCUACGAAAAUUAUGUGAAAAAUAACACAAAAGGAGAAAUACAGGAAGCCUUUGUUCUCGCGCAGAUAAAGCAUAUAAGGCUUAACACCUGAAUCCCCUUUUUCUCUUUCCUCUUUCUUGAUCAGUUGAUCUGCCGGCGAUGGCUUCAUAGACUCUGUAUAUCUGCUUCCAUGAAUACCAUCUGUCUCCUUUAUUGAUACUUCCUUAGAUCUUUGAGGGGGCAUAUUGUUAUUAAGAUCCGAUGCACCAAUAGUAUCUUUAUGGGCAGUGACAAGGUUUUUAAAUUCUUCACAAUCUGCCAAUAAAUCUUGAUAAGGUGCAGACUGGAUAACCUCUCCAUCCGACAUUAACUGCAAAAAUUUAUCGCAAAUUUUAGAUUAAUCCACAAAUAAAUAAAGCUCAUUACAUAUAAAUAUAAAUUAUAGAGGCACAAAUAUCAUCAAAUGGUGACUUUUUUGAAGUGGAGAGAGGUACCAAAAUGGAGUCAAAUGCAGGUAAAAAAUCCACUUGGUGGGUCACCAAGAGAACAGUCUUGUCUGAUAGAGCACUCAUGACAUAUUCCUGUUACAAAGAGCUUUGUAAAGCAGUUCACAACCAAAUAGUAAUACAAUCUGCCUCUGCUGAAUAUGAUCCUUACAUUGAAGAGACUUGUGGCUGUAUGGGCAUCAACGGCACUGAAAGGAUCAUCAAGAAGAUAGAUGUCCGCAUUUUGGUAUAGUGCACGAGCAAGCUGGACGCGCUGCUUCUGACCACCACUAAGAUUUACUCCUCUCUCCCCAAUUUGAGUACAAUCUCCAUAUGGCAACAUUUCAAGGUCCUUGACCAAUGAGCACCUCAUCAGUGUGUUGUGGUAUCUUUCUCUGUCCAUCGACGAUCCAAAGAGAAUAUUGUCUUGCACGGUUCCUGUUUGGAUCCAUGCAUUCUGAGAAAUAUAUGCUAUUUUCCCAGAGACUUGGAUCUGAAAUGUUUAUGCAAAGAUCAAGAAUUUGAUGUUAAGAUGUUAUGGAAAAACAUGAUUAAUGUACUUCAUGUUGGAAAUAUUACCAAGCCUAAUUCUCAUAACAACUUUGCAAACUUUCGUUAAAAGAUGAUGUUAGUAAAGAAACAUACUGUGCCUUCAGUUUUGAGGACCUCUCCGAGCACAGCAGACAAAAGCGUCGACUUUCCUGAACCUACCUCUCCACAAAUUGCUACCUUUUCUCCAGCUUUGACUAUCAGAUUUAUAUUCUUUAGAGUUGGUUUUGAUGUACUCUCAAGAUACACGAAUUCAUCGCUAUUGGGUAAUCAAUGCCAACAUAAUAUUUCUUCGUAACUUGCCUGUUUAGCUCAGGUGCAUCAAGGAACUUUGAUAUCCGGGUGAAAGCAACCUUAGCUUGUAUGACAACUGCAAUUACAUCGGGUAUUGACCUAACUGGGUCUUGCACAAGACGUAGAGUUGCCACGAAGGUGAAGACAUUACUAGCAUCAAGAGGAAUUUUCAGAAGAUAGCAUGUUAGAAAGGUCACUGCUGAAACCAGGACAGGUGAUGCCCAGAACAGGAAACUGUUGUACGCCCUACUAAGCUGGAAUGCUGACAACCACUUGUACUCAACCUCCCUCAACCCCUCGAUGACCUUCUUGAAUUUGGCCAAUGGAGCGUUGCAGAGUACAGUGAUAAUGAUGACAACCAAUGACGAAAACAUUGCAGCACCGACCGCAUUGUACAGAAUAGCCAGGGCAAUGCAAAGCUGAACAAUUGUUGUCCAUGUUUGGUGGAACCAGUAUGGGAAUUCCCCAAUCCGAUAGGCAUCAACGGUCAUGUAGUUCAUAAUUUCUCCAGUAGAGUGCUUCAUUUUUGCUGCAUUUGAUAGCCUCUGUUGUUUC